rnacentral:tRNA from 1 species
GCCCCGUUAGUCUAGCGGUCAGGACACGGCCCUCUCAAGGCUGGGACAGGAGUUCAAUUCUCCUACGGGGCA